rnacentral:lncRNA from 1 species
GCUGUACAAUAAGUACACAGGAACCAGUUAGAAUCUAAAUUCCUACAAAAUACUUUGAAAAUAUUCAUGAUUUGUUACUACUGUGGGUUCAUUUAUUGUUGUGGAUACCAAUUUUGGUUUAAGGGGGUCUCAUUGGGGGUUCUGAUCCCGGAUCCCGCUUACUGUUUUUUCAGAUUCCCGUAUCCCGCUUACACUAUGUACGUAUGCAAUUCUCAUAUUUUUGUCAUUUCCCGGGUCCCGCUAGACCUCAUUUCCCGUUUUCACGACACAAUAAUUUGACUUUCACGCGUCAAGCUUACAAAAAAUCGGCAAUCCCGCCUCACGCUUAGACCCCAAUGAGACCCACUUUAAGGGAAAAGUGCAUAUUCGUGGAAAUUUAAAUUCAUGGUUUUGUCAAAGUCUGCAUACAUUCAUUCCUGUAGAAAAAUUUGCAAUUCGUUGAAUUUUUAGAUUUGAAUAGAUUUAUGGUUCCCUCGUACCAC